GAUGAACGCUAGCGGCAGGCUUAAUACAUGCAAGUCGAGGGGCAGCAUGGGGGUGUAGCAAUACACUCUGAUGGCGACCGGCAAACGGGUGCGGAACACGUACACAACUUACCCUAGACUGGGGGAUAGCCUUCCGAAAGGGAGAUUAAUACCUCAUAGGAUCGUAGAGUGGCAUCACUUAGCGAUUAAAGCUCAGGCGGUUUAGGAUGGGUGUGCGGCUGAUUAGGUAGUUGGCGGGGUAACGCCCACCAAGCCUGCGAUCAGUAACUGGGUGUGAGAGCACGACCAGUCACACGGGCACU
rnacentral:rRNA from 1 species